AUUGAACGCUGGCGGAAUGCUUUACACAUGCAAGUCGAACGGCAGCACGGACUUCGGUCUGGUGGCGAGUGGCGAACGGGUGAGUAAUGUAUCGGAACGUGCCCAGUCGUGGGGGAUAACGUAGUGAAAAUUACGCUAAUACCGCAUACGAUCUAUGGAUGAAAGCGGGGGAUCGCAAGACCUCGCGCGAUUGGAGUGGCCGAUAUCAGAUUAGGUAGUUGGUGGGGUAAAGGCCCCCCAAGACAACGAUCUGUAGCUGGUCCGGGAGGACGACCAGCCACACUGGAACUGAGACACGGUCCAGACUCCUACGGGAGGCAGCAGUGGGGAAUUUUGGACAAUGGGCGAAAGCCUGAUCCAGUCAUUCCGCGUGCAGGAUGAAGGCCCUCGGGUUGUAAACUGCUUUUGUACAGAACGAAAAGGUUUCUACUAAUACUAGGAGCUCAUGACGGUACUGUAAGAAUAAGCACCGGCUAACUACGUGCCAGCAGCCGCCGUAA
rnacentral:rRNA from 1 species